rnacentral:rRNA from 1 species
CUGGGCGUAAAGCGUGCGUAGGCGGCUUGAUAAGCCGGUUGUGAAAGCCCCGGGCUCAACCUGGGAACGGCAUCCGGAACUGUUAGGCUAGAGUGCAGGAGAGGAAGGUAGAAUUCCCGGUGUAGCGGUGAAAUGCGUAGAGAUCGGGAGGAAUACCAGUGGCGAAGGCGGCCUUCUGGACUGACACUGACGCUGAGGUACGAAAGCGUGGGUAGCAAACAGGAUUAGAUACCCUGGUAGUCCACGCCGUAAACGAUGUCGACUAGCCGUUGGGGUCCUCGAGACCUUUGUGGCGCAGUUAACGCACUAAGUCGACCGCCUGGGGAGUACGGCCGCAAGGUUAAAACUCAAAUGAAUUGACGGGGGCCCGCACAAGCGGUGGAGCAUGUGGUUUAAUUCGAUGCAACGCGAAGAACCUUACCUACCCUUGACAUCGUGCGAACUUUCCAGAGAUGGAUUGGUGCCUUCGGGAGCGCACAGACAGGUGCUGCAUGGCUGUCGUCAGCUCGUGUUGUGAAAUGUUGGGUUAAGUCCCGUAACGAGCGCAACCCUUGUCCCUAUUUGCCAGCGAUUCGGUCGGGAACUCUAGGGAGACUGCCGGUGACAAACCGGAGGAAGGUGGGGACGACGUCAAGUCAUCAUGGCCCUUACGGGUAGGGCUACACACGUGCUACAAUGGCCGGUACAAUGGGUUGCAAAGCGGCGACGUGGAGCUAAUCUCAUAAAGCCGGUCUCAGUCCGGAUCGGAGUCUGCAACUCGACUCCGUGAAGUCGGAAUCGCUAGUAAUCGUGCAUCAGAAUGGCACGGUGAAUACGUUCCCGGGCCUUGUACACACCGCCCGUCACACCAUGGGAGUGGACUGCACCAGAAGUGGUUAGCCUAACUUCGGAGGGCG